GAGUUUGAUCGUGGCUCAGGAUGAACGCUGGCGGCGUGCCUAACACAUGCAAGUCGAACGAAGCACUUAUCUUUGAUUCUUUCGGGAUGAAGAGAUAUUUGACUGAGUGGCGGACGGGUGAGUAACGCGUGGGUAACCUGCCUCAUACAGGGGGAUAACAGUUAGAAAUGACUGCUAAUACCGCAUAAGCGCACGGAGACGCAUGUCUUUGUGUGAAAAGCCGAGACGGUAUGAGAUGGACCCGCGUCUGAUUAGGUAGUUGGUGAGGUAACGGCC
rnacentral:rRNA from 1 species